rnacentral:miRNA from 1 species
UGAGUGUGUGUGUGUGUGUGUGUGUGUGUGUAAAUAUACCAUAGGCAAAGCAUCAUUAACAUCCCGACAUACAGACAUGAACGUGCAAUCGCACACACACACACACACACACACACACACU